rnacentral:rRNA from 1 species
UACGUAGGGUGCAAGCGUUGUCCGGAAUUAUUGGGCGUAAAGAGCUCGUAGGCGGUUUGUCGCGUCUGCUGUGAAAACUCGGGGCUUAACUCCGGGCCUGCAGUGGGUACGGGCAGACUAGAGUGCGGUAGGGGAGACUGGAAUUCCUGGUGUAGCGGUGAAAUGCGCAGAUAUCAGGAGGAACACCGGUGGCGAAGGCGGCACGCUGGGCCCGCCCUGACGCUGAGGCGCGAAAGCCAGGGGAGCGAACGGG